rnacentral:rRNA from 1 species
CCUACGGGUGGCAGCAGUGAGGAAUAUUGGUCAAUGGACGAGAGUCUGAACCAGCGAAGUAGCGUGAAGGAUGACUGCCCUAUGGGUGGUAAGCUUCUUUUAUAUGGGAAUAAAAUGUUCCACGUGUGGGAUUUUGUAUGUACAAUAUGAAUAAGGAUCGGCUAACUCUGUGCCAGCAGCCGGCGUAAUACGGAGGAACCGAGCGUUAUCCGGAUUUAUUGGGUUUAAAGGGAGCGUAGGUGGAGUGUUAAGUCAGUUGUGAAAGUUUGCGGCUCAACCGUAAAAUUGCAGUUGAAACUGGCAGUCUGGAGUACAGUAGAGGUGGGCGGAAUUCGUGGUGUAGCGGUGAAAUGCUUAGAUAUCACGAAGAACUCCAAUUGCGAAGGCAGCUCACUGGACUGCAACUGACACUGAGGCUCGAAAGUGUGGGUAUCAAACAGGAUUAGAUACCCCUGUAGUC